rnacentral:rRNA from 1 species
UACGUAGGGGGCAAGCGUUGUCCGGAUUUAUUGGGCGUAAAGCGCUCGCAGGUGGUUCGUCGCGUCGUGCGUGAAAGACCCCGGCUCAACUGGGGGGUGUCGUGCGAUACGGGCGGACUGGAGGCCAGUAGGGGGAUGCGGAAUUCCGGGUGUAGUGGUGGAAUGCGUAGAGAUCCGGAGGAACACCAGUGGCGAAGGCGACACGCUGGGCCGUACCUGACACUGAUGCGCGACAGCAUGGGGAGCAAACAGG